rnacentral:rRNA from 1 species
UACGGAGGGUGCAAGCGUUAUCCGGAUUCACUGGGUUUAAAGGGUGCGUAGGCUGACUUAUAAGUCAGUGGUGAAAUCCUUGAGCUUAACUCAAGAAUUGCCAUUGAUACUAUUUGUCUUGAGUUCAGUUGAGGUGAGUGGAAUUUGUCAUGUAGCGGUGAAAUGCUUAGAUAUGACAAAGAACACCCAUUGCGAAGGCAGCUCACUAAACUGAUACUGACGCUGAGGCACGAAAGCGUGGGGAGCAAACAGG